CUUCUACAUUCCCCGUAGGCCCAUACAAUAUUGCUUUCUUUAGCAAGACAACAACCAUCUUCAAAAAUUAGAAUUAAAUUUUGUGUAGUUCAAACCACUGUUUCAUCUCCACCAGCAAAUCACCACAAGACACACCUCUUUUUUCCACCCACAUUCUGUGUAAUUCUCUCAACGAGCUCUCAUCUCAAUCGCUUGCUGCUCUCAAACUGGAUACCCUAAUGGGUGUGAUUAUUCGAUUCAACAUGUGGAAAAGAAAAAUUUAAAAGAAAAAGAUUUCAAGUGCUUUAGAGGAAAAAUUGAUGCAAAAACUGGAAGAAAAAACCUUGAAGAAAAAAUGAAAGAAUUGGAAAGCCCGCUUAACAUGCAAGACGUGCCUUGCGCGCAUUCUCGCUCAGCGUGCAACACACGCUUAGCGCGAAAAAGACCCAUGAAACACACGCUUAGUGCGAAAGCUUACGCUAAGCCUGAAGUCAGGGUGAAAAUUAAGCUACCUAGUGCCUAUAUAAGGAGGAGGAAGCAGAAGAAAAAGACACAAUCUCACAACCCACACACGGGUAUAUCCCUCAGGGGAAACCCUCUCUUUAGCCAUUCCCCUUUUUCUUGUUAUUAGUCAUCUAUCACCUUCGUCCAUUAACCCCUAAAGUGUAAAGUCUCUCAUGGUUAUGAGAGGCUAAACUCCUUUUGUUGGAAGCCUGGAGGCCAAACUCUUGUAAUAUAAUUCUUUCUUAUUAUCUGUUUAAUGCAAUUCUGUUUCUAUUACUUCUCUAUACUUUUCUACUAUUAUGGUCUGAUCACCCAUAUACUGUUUAGAGGGUAAUGUAUUGAAAAAUGGUUAUUUUCUAAAGGACUGGGGAAGGGUAUCUUAAUAAAUUUAUUGUUAGAAAUAGAUUGACAUUUAUUUUGCCCACGAAUUUUUGCAUCUCUUACCUUAAUGCCGUUUGCUAUUUUAUCUUUGCAAAGAAAUUUGGGAAAAAGGAUAAAUAAACUAGGCCCUUCGUGCAGGAAACCAAAGAUAAGGUAAUUUAGUUGAUGUGGGAAGAAACAGGGAUUUCAUAAAAUAUAGAAAAUCAAUUACAUUAUAUUAUAAGUAGUUUUGACAUAUUAGACCCCAACAUCAUUGCAUUCUGAUUCUAUCUUCUCACAUUCAAACCGUUGUUUAUUUUUCCUGUUAUCUUUUUAUUUUCCUUAAUUUCAAAUUUCACAUUUAUAAUUC